AAAAAAAAAAAAAAAAAAUGGCGACAGGAUAUGCAAACAAUAUCCAGCCUCCACAAAGGGAAAUUUAUCAAUGGAUGUCCCACUAUUGCUCUUUAAAAUAUGUAUUUAACAUAUUGCAAAGGCUUCAGAAGGGAUACUUUAUUGGUUCCGGUUGCAUGGCUUUUUGGAUAAGUUCAGUCUGCUCCUUCACAUGCACCUGGUAGAAACCAGUGGCUGUUGCAGCAGAGGGAGCACGCCCAACAUACUUGAUGUCCUCUAUAGAUCCUCUUCCUAGUGCUUUCAUAGCAGUGCAAAGGCGAGGUGAAAUGUAAUUGUAUGCACCCAUGUUCAUUGGCUCUUCCUGGCACCAAACAAUCUCGGCAUUUGGAUAUCGCUUGAGCUCACGCUGGAUGAGAUCAUAUGGGAAUGGACACAGCUGCUCCACCCUACAAAUUGCAAUGUCCUGAGCACCAUUCUUUUUGCGCUCUUCAUCAAGCUCAUAAUAAACCUUUCCAGAGCAAAGAACCAGUCGUCUGAUACCCUCUUCAAGAUCAGAGCGGUCAUUCUGAUCCUUUAUGAGACGCUUAAAUCUGGUUCCUUGUUUGUCAAAGCCAGGGUGGCCUUUGACAUCAUCAAACUCAGACAGAUUUGAUUUGCAGUCCUUGUGACGAAGUAGGUUUUUUGGAGCCAUCACAAUGAGGGGCUUACGGAAUUCCCUGUGUAGCUGACGCCGCAAGACAUGGAAGUAAUUAGCAGGAGUUGUAACAUUUACAACCUGCCAGUUACAUUCCUGGAUUUGCUUCCGAAGAGUUGGGUCCAUUUCAGGAAUGACAUAAGGAUUGUCAUCACUCAUCUGAAGGAAGCGUUCCAACCGUGCACUUGAAUGUUCAGGACCCUGACCAUCAUAUCCAUGAGGAAGAAGCAAAACAAGCCCAAUUUGACGCAACCACUUUGAUUCACCGCUACUCAGGAACUGAUCAAAUAUCACUUGAGCCCCAUUAGCAAAGUCACCAAAUUGAGCUUCCCAGAUUACCAAUGAAUUCGGACUUUCCAUUGAGUAACCCAGUUCAAAUCCAAGAACGCCAAACUCUGAAAGAGAACUGUUGCUGACAGUAAACAAUUCCUCAUUUUGGUUCAUGACAACAUGGUCCAGAGGGCAAUACUUCUCCCCGGUUUCUUGAUCAUGAACUACUGAAUGCCGGUGACUAAAUGUACCUCGUUCAACAUCCUGGCCACUCAAUCUAACAUGAUUACCUUCUACAACCAAAGUUGCAAAAGCAAGAGCUUCUGCAAGUGCCCAGUCAAUUCCUUCCCCAGUUUCAAUCAUUUGUGCACGUUGUUCAUAAACCUUCUUUACAGCUCUGUGAGGCUUAAAAUUUUCAGGAAAAGUUGUAAUUGCCUUGCCAACAUUCUUCAAGAUCUCAGGUUUCACCCCAGUGUUUCGGAUGCGUGAAAGCUGUUCAGGUGACUUAAACCCAGCCCAAUGAGACGAAAGCCAAUCUCUUCUUUUAGGAACAUAAUCUUUGCUAGCCAAGAAUUCUUCAUUGAGGAUGGAAUUGACCUUCUCUUGUAUCUUUUGAAUAUCUUCUUCAACCACCUGCCCAGAUUCUAAAAGUUUCGUUCGGUAAAUCUCAAGAGAUGAGGGAUGAUUUCGAAUGACCUGAUACAUUUUUGGUUGUGUGAAAGAUGGCUCAUCGAUCUCAUUAUGUCCAAAUCGACGAUAACACACCAAAUCAACCACAACAUCCGAAUGGAAAGUCUGGCGCCACUCAGCUGCAAGUUCACAGGCAUGAACAACUGCCUCCACAUCAUCUCCAUUAACGUGGAAAAUAGGUGCAUUCAAAGCCUUGGCAACAUCAGUACAAUACUGUGAAGAUCUGCCUGCCCUUGGAUCAGUAGUGAAAGCAACUUGGUUAUUCACCACAAUGUGUAUAGUUCCACCAGUAGUGUAGUUUGGCAGUGCACUAAGAUGUAGAGUUUCAUACACUACACCUUGACCAGCAAAGCUACCAUCACCAUGAAUCAAAAUUCCCAUGUUUUUAGUCCUCUGCUCAUCAUUGGAGUAAAAUUGCUUAGCUCUAGUCUUUCCAACAACAACAGGGUCCACAGCUUCCAAGUGACUAGGAUUUGCAACCAAUGACAAAUGGAUUCUCUUCCCACCUCUGGUUGGACGAUCAUAAGAAGUUCCUAAAUGAUAUUUCACAUCACCAGUUCCUGUGUAAAGACCAACUUCAUCGACAGGCUUUGUACCACCACUAAACUCACUAAAUAUUUGUCGGAGUGGCUUUCGAACAACAUUACCAAGAACAUUCAAUCUUCCUCUAUGAGGCAUUCCAAUAACUAUGCUCUCAACACCUAGAUCUGCUGACCUAUCAAACAUCUCCUUCAUACCAGGAAUAAGAGUUUCCCCACCUUCAAGGCCAAACCUCUUAGCCGUUGUCCACUUGGUGGCCAAGAAGUUUUCAAAUUGCGUACUCCAUAUUAGCCUAUCGAGAAUAACUUCACGGCGCUGGCGAUUGUACUGCAUAGGAGUUGGGGUUUCAAUCUUGUCUCUUAACCAGUUACAUUUCUCACGAUCUGCAAUGUGCAUAUACUCAUAGCCAAUGCUCCCACAGUAAGCCUGCUCAAGACGGGUCAAUAUGGACCUAAGGGUCUGCACUGGACGGUUUUCAGACAAAAACCCAGCCAUUCUCCACACUCCUAAAAAGAAUUCUCUAUCAAGGUCAGCUUCUGUGAACCCAUAAAGUGCUGGGUCUAAAUCCUCUGGAAUUUCUCUUUCUUCCAACCCCAAUGGGUCCAACUUGGCUUUCAUAUGGCCAUUAACUUGGUAGGCCCUCACAAACAACAGUAAGCGCAUACUCUCCUGAAUCGUCUGGCCUGAAAUACCAGGGGAUGUGGCAGCCUGACCCACAAAAUUCCUAAAGAAAUUGUCCCAUGACUCAUCCACACUACUUGGGUCAGCUUCCCAAGCUCGUUGUAGCUCCUCCAAAUAAACACUACUGGUUCCAUCUAGGAAGCUAUCAGUUAGCCUGGAAAGAGGCACCGGACGAGGGACAGGUGCAGCUUGUGCCUUGGACUUAAAGACAGUGGUAUGGAAAUAUCGACUCUGAGAAGGAAUGACCCGUGUUCUAGUUGUGUAUGAUCCACUCUGAGAUAAAGUCCUCCGAAUGGCAAGCCUUGCCACACUAGUGCCAGCUCUAAACCACGCCAUAGAGAACAAUGCAAACUACUAAAUACCACAGAUUUCUCAAAGAUUGUACUACCCCGGAUCAAACCUCAAGUACGAACAUAUGUAUUUUCUCUUAUAGAACAAGUCCUGUUAAACAAAAUUUAAAAUAAAUAAAUAGUUAAAAGAGGAAAUACCCAACAAUAGUGCUUAUUCACCUAUCAGCUCCAAGGACAUGGACUCCAAACAUUUUCCAAGUGUGAGCACAUACCCAGAUUCAACUAAAAAUAAACACAUGAUUCAACAUAUAUUAUAUAAACCCAUAUUAAUCUGGAUUUGGAAUCCAGUCAUAAAGUUUCAGAUUGAAGAACACGAUGAAAAAUCCAGCACAUCACGGAUAUAAUGAAAGUAACAAAAAUCGUCUUAACAAUUCACUAAAUAAAUUACAAAUCUGAAAACUUCCAGAACCAAAUAUACUCAAUAAGAAUAAUUCAACUAGAGAAUAAAUAGAGGAACCAGAAACAACAUUUUCUACUCCUGUUUCUCGUUAAUUUCACCUCAAAUGUUCCCAUCCCAGCAACCAAACAUAUUAGAUCACGUAAAAGCAAAUAAUUAACAAAUCAAGAUACGAAAAGAAGAUCA
rnacentral:misc_RNA from 1 species